CGUUAACUAGCAACCCAAAUCCAACGCCACGCCGUUACCUAGCAACCACAGUCAAGCCCAGCCCGUCUCCUAGCAACCGAGUUCUAGUUCCGCUGGCACACUGUUUCACUUG